rnacentral:lncRNA from 1 species
UGGAAAUGUUAAGAAAUUAUCUAAUUUUUUUUGUCAACAUAUUUUCAUUAAACAAAGCCCAUAAAAGAUUUUGGGCCAGAUUUUGGUACAAAUUGGUUUGCGAAACCACAAGCUAACUUAAUAGAUAAGGUUACAAAACAGAAGUAGGAAACACGUGUAGCGAUGAUGUGGUUUGCGUUAUCAUGAAGCUGCUCUUGCUCCUGUUCACUCCGGAGUCCAUUAUUUCUAGUUAAUAACAGCGUCUACUCCGGUGAGACUUGUGACAAUAUUAAUGCUAUUACCGCACGAACUUCAAUAAAAUCCUUUAACCGAAGUUUGUACCAAGAUAAUCUCCUCGCCAUUGAUGACCGAAAGACUGAAGAUUUCAUCGGUAGUUUAAAACUCCAUUGAUCGAAGCUCAGUACUCUUCAGAAAACUUCAUCUAACACGACCGAAGCUCUGAAUCACCACACUACGCUCCAAGCAACAACAUCUUCUUGAACCUUCGCCCAAGGAAACCUAUACUCCAUAGACCAUACAUAUGACCGAGUAAGGAAUUACAAGCACUUGAGUGAGGGGACAAGCAGCCGAUGAAUAGAAUGACAUCACUAUCUUUCGGGGUUGAGCACUAAUAGUCUAAUACUAAGCGAAGAGGAUUAUAGAACAAAAAAGAACCAGAAAUAAAAGAAAAAGUCCGAUAAACGGAAUUUACAAUCGGACAUCGCCGAAUCUAGAUCCGAACAAGUCGGAAACAAAAAGAUACAAAAGGGGUGGCGACCGCCGGUUUAGAAACCACCGGCCACCGAAACAAGAUUUUGAUUUAGAGCUUCUAGAGAGAUGUAGGAGGUUUUAGAGAGAGAAAAAAGACUAGAUAAGAAAUUAUUUUAUGUUUUUUAACGUACA